CAAGAAUGAGUCGCGAGGAAUCUCAACACUUCUCUUGAUUAUUCACGUAACCUUAAGAUCUACCUUGAUUCUAUUUGUAAGUAUUUAUCUUGAUCAAGCACGACCUAAUUUUAUCUCGGCAGUGUGUAUUUAAAUACUCGCUUAGAAAAGCUGAAUCGUCUUCUCUUCGUUUUCUCUCCUCCAGAAUAGACAUACAUGCAGUUUUUCUCCUAUCGAAGCGUGUGCUUUUAAGCUCGCAUGUCCACUUCUAGACAAUUGUGUACCCUCUGACGUCGAUAUCACUAAACUCUCAUUCAAUAUCGACGAUGAAACUGUAAAAACGCGUAACUCACCUUGCAGCCUUCCUGUCAUAAUUUAUUUUCUAAAUGGAAAACCAAACUCCAUUGCUCAAUGACAUUUCUCGAGAACUACCUUGAUUUUUUCCUACCUCUGUGAAGAAUAUUCUGUGAAAAUUGCAAGGAAUAAAAUUGGUUUGUUCUCCUCUCAUCUCAUAAAAUAAAAUGGGACCAGAGGUUUUGACAGACCUUAAGUGAGAAACGCGUUUUUGCAGUUUCGUCGUUGAUAAAACGUCGACGUCGUAUAAAUACAGACCUUAAAACAGGGAGCAAGUUUUUAGACAAUGAUACUUUUUAAUCAAAUCGUUUGGAUUAUAAGUAUGGUAUGUCUUUUUUUCUGAAAAAAAAAUGAAUGAAAAAAAAACAUCCCCUUUCUGUGAAAUACUUUCAAAUUUUACUCCUGCUGCACGGCGAGAAUCAACGAAACUUAAUUUAUACGUUUCCCUGAAUCUUUGCAACCCUGUUUGACGUCACGCAAGUAUGACAAGUUAUGAAUCCAUAACAAGUGUCAAAACUUUUUAAAAUCUUAUUUUCUUAAGUAUUUAUAAACUUGACGUAUAAACAGACAUUAUGCACACAGAUUCUAAAUUCACAUUAUUGUAAAUUAAAUAUAAUUUUUUUUCCUUCUUUUGAGUUUUCCGUGAACCUUACGUGUAUGCACACAUUUUCCCCUUUUUCCGGUCAAG
rnacentral:lncRNA from 1 species